rnacentral:rRNA from 1 species
UACGAGGGGAGCUAGCGUUAUUCGGAAUUACUGGGCGUAAAGCGCGCGUAGGCGGUUUUUUAAGUCAGAGGUGAAAGCCUGGAGCUCAACUCCAGAACUGCCUUUGAAACUGGAAAACUUGAAUCUUGGAGAGGUCAGUGGAAUUCCGAGUGUAGAGGUGAAAUUCGUAGAUAUUCGGAAGAACACCAGUGGCGAAGGCGGCUCACUGGCUCGAUACUGACGCUGAGGUGCGAAAGCGUGGGGAGCAAACAGG